AGCGAACGCUGGCGGCAGGCCUAACACAUGCAAGUCGAACGAACUCUUCGGAGUUAGUGGCGGACGGGUGAGUAACACGUGGGAACGUGCCCUUUGGUACGGAAUAACUCAGGGAAACUUGAGCUAAUACCGUAUGUGCCCUUCGGGGGAAAGAUUUAUCGCCAUUGGAGCGGCCCGCGUCUGAUUAGCUUGUUGGUGAGGUAAAGGUUCACCAAGGCGACGAUCAGUAGCUGGUCUGAGAGGAUGAUCAGCCACAUUGGGACUGAGACACGGCCCAAACUCCUACGGGAGGCAGCAGUGGGGAAUCUUGCGCAAUGGGCGAAAGCCUGACGCAGCCAUGCCGCGUGAAUGAUAAAGGUCUUAGGAUUGUAAAAUUCUUUCACCGGGGACGAUAAUGACGGUACCCGGAGAAGAAGCCCCGGCUAACUUCGUGCCAGCAGCCGCCGUAA
rnacentral:rRNA from 1 species